GGCCUUUCCUGUCUCUGCAGAAGACGAUUGUCUGAAGUUUCGGAUAUGUUGAAAGACGUGCUCCUUCAGUACAAGGCCGUUUUAGGCCCUCAGGGCUCUGCUUUAGAACUGGAAGAUGAGAAUGAAAGUGAUUUCAGCAGUCCAGACACCAGUGAUAAUGAAGAGGAGGAAUGCAGGAAAGAGCUACCAGGCAGGUGUCUGUAAUUGCUUGAUUGCGGCCAGGGCAGAGUAAAAGGACUUCAUGGCUGCAAUUCCGGGUUCCUGUAUCACAUUGUUUUGCUUUUUUCAUCUCACAUAUUUACUGUAAUAAAUAACUUUAUUUUUUGCAUCUUCA